rnacentral:rRNA from 1 species
UAAUACUCCAUAGUAUCGUAAGAUUAAAGCUCCGGCGGUACAAGAUGGCUGUGCGUCUGAUUAGCUAGUUGGUGAGAUAGCGGCUCACCAAGGCGACGAUCAGCAGGGGGCGUGAGAGCGUGUGCCCCCACACGGGUACUGAGACACGGACCCGACUCCUACGGGAGGCAGCAGUAAGGAAUAUUGGUCAAUGGAGGCAACUCUGUACCAGCCAUCCCGCGUGCAGGAUGACGGCCCUACGGGUUGUAAACUGCUUUUAUUUGGGAAGAAAGGUAUGUUUUUAGCGUAUUUGACGGUACCAAAUGAAUAAGCACCGGCUAACUCCGUGCCAGCAGCCGCGGUAAUACGGAGGGUGCCAGCGUUAUCCGGAAUCACUGGGUUUAAAGGGUGCGUAGGCGGCAUUAUAAGUCAGAGGUGAAAGCCCGGCGCUCAACGUCGGAAUUGCCUUUGAUACUGUAGUGCUUGAAUCAGGUUGAGGUCGGCGGAAUGUGACAUGUAGCGGUGAAAUGCAUAGAUAUGUCAUAGAACACCAAUUGCGAAGGCAGCUGACUGGAUCUGUAUUGACGCUGAGGCACGAAAGCGUGGG